rnacentral:rRNA from 1 species
CCUACGGGUGGCAGCAGUGGGGAAUAUUGCACAAUGGGGGGAACCCUGAUGCAGCGACGCCGCGUGAGUGAAGAAGUAUUUCGGUAUGUAAAGCUCUAUCAGCAGGGAAGAAAAUGACGGUACCUGACUAAGAAGCCCCGGCUAACUACGUGCCAGCAGCCGCGGUAAUACGUAGGGGGCAAGCGUUAUCCGGAUUUACUGGGUGUAAAGGGAGCGUAGACGGUUAUGCAAGUCUGAAGUGAAAGCCCAAGGCUCAACCAUGGGACUGCUUUGGAAACUGUAAAACUGGAGUGCAGGAGAGGUAAGCGGAAUUCCUAGUGUAGCGGUGAAAUGCGUAGAUAUUAGGAGGAACACCAGUGGCGAAGGCGGCUUACUGGACCAUUAUUGACGCUGAGGAACGAAAGCCAGGGGAGCAAAUGGGAUUAGAUACCCGGGUAGUC